CUCUCUAUUGCUGUAGUGGAAGAUGAGGCUGAUGACAGCAGUGAGGAUGAUGGACACCAGGCUGACACACAGACAGAGCACCCAGAAGCUUGCUGUGCUGCUUUGAAGGUACAUGUGAAGGGUUGAAUACACAGCGCACCACAGCACCAUGUACAAAAUCGGUGCCAUGAUGAAAUUAAAAACAUAUGAGUUGAAAAGCAGAUAUCUUCUGACGGACGGAUGGUCCAGCGCUAAUUCAAGUGGACCCUCAAAAUUAUCUGCUGGGAUCUGGAAGCCUUUUGUUUCCAGAAGAGUCCUGCAGCGUGAGAAGUCAAAUUUAGGAGUGAACCAGGAGGACGUGGGGACUGAUGCCACACACUGACCGUUCCUCCAUGUGGAUGAUGUGCCUGGUUCUCCUGCUGUGCGUGACUGUCCUGUGGGGGAUUUGCCAUCAGAUUUUUCCUCUCUGUUACACUGCCGCUCCCUCUCCUCCAUGGUGACGGCCACUGUCAGAGCCUGCUGUGGUUCGGGCCCAGCUUGUUUCAGUUGAUGAUUUCGGCACAGUUCACUGUCUGCUAGCAAAACGACAGCAUUCACAGCUGACUGCAGCCAAUCUUAGCUUUACUAAACAUCAAACACACUUUCCUCCAGAAUAUAGUAGUGUGUAUGUGACAGCAGGUCCAUCUCUUCAUUUCUGUCAUUGUGUGUCUCUCUCAGGUCCUUCUCAGUCAUGUCUGCAGUUGCCACUACCUUCUAAACUCCUCCCACUGCUUUAGCUCUCAUUUUUUAAGCCCUUCAUUGCCAUUUAUCGGGGGUUUCUCUUCAUUUUAAGGUAAGACUCUUCUUGUG
ensembl:processed_transcript